UCCUACGGGAGGCAGCAGUGGGGAAUCUUCUGCAAUGGGCGCAAGCCUGACAGUGCGACGCCGCGUGAAGGAAGAAGGCCACUUUCGGUCGUAAACUUCUUUGCACGGGCACAGGAAGACUGACCGCCCGGGAAGCAAGUAUCGGCUAACUCCGUGCCAGCAGCCGCGGUAAGACGGGGGAUGCAAGCGUUAUCCGGAUUUAUUGGGCGUAAAGCGUCUGUAGGUGGUUUGGUGUGUCUGCUGUCCAAACGCAGGGCUUAACUCUGUGGGGCAUGUGGAGACUAUCAGACUGGAGGCCGGUAGAGGUGGGGGGAAUCCCUCGAGGAGCAGUGAAAUGCUUAGAUACGUGGGAGAAGGCCGGAGGCGAAAGCUCCCCACUGGGCCGCGCCUGACACUGAGAGACGAAAGCUAGGGGAGCGAAUGGGAUUAGAGACCCCAGUAGUCCUAGUCGUAAACGAUGGGCACUCGAUGCUGCGCGUGGGACGCGCAGUAUCCCAGCUAACGCGAUAAGUGCCCCGCCUGAGGAGUACGCUUGCAAGGGUGAAACUCAAAGGAAUUGACGGGGGCUCGCACAAGCGGUGGAGCAUGUGGUUUAAUUCGAUGCAACGCGAAGAACCUUACCUGGGCUUGACAUGGUGCCCGCGCGCCCCUAACGGGGUUCCGCUAAACCGGCACACACAGGUGGUGCACGGCUGUCGUCAGCUCGUGUCGUGAGGUGUUGGGUUAAGUCCCGCAACGAGCGCAACCCCCAUCUGGAGCCGAUAGCUACAGAGACUGCCGCAUACCGGAACUCUGGGUUCGGAAAUGGAAGGAAAGUGAGGGAUGAACGUUCAGGUCAUCAAUGCCCCCUUAUGGACC
rnacentral:rRNA from 1 species